GCAUGGGUUUGGAGUUAUGGCAGGCCCGUCCCUCUGGGUCUCUCUCAGUGUCCCAUGCCAGAGCAGACUGUGGCCUUAAACCGUUGCCUGGCCUCUGCCCAGAGGCUGCAGGCGCUGAAGUGGGUUACACAGUG